GGCUGUUAUAGCUCACAUCUGUAAGAUUCCUGUCUCUAUGGCUUCUCAUUGGAUUCAGAGAACAGGAAGAAUUGUUUAAAAAUGUGAGACUGGGGCAAGAUAGUUGACUCAGGUUUUCAUAUUCUGUGUUUGCCCCUGGUGGCUCAGCACAUAUAGAUCUCAUUCCUUUACCAAAUGCCACAGUUUCUGUCUAAGAGAUUCUCCAGAGCCCAUUAACCACUGUCUUAUUUCUUUAGGUCAAUGGGGCCAGCAUAUUGUCAGUCCCUGUGGCUUUUCUAUACUUCAUUGGAUUUUCUUGAUUCUCUCAUGCAUUUGUGAGUGACUCCAACUACCUUGAAAAACAAACUAUCUGGAAAAUGAGAAAUCUACUACAUAUGUUGAAAAUGUAGACUACAUGUACAUUAAUCCUGUUGCAUGCUUACACAGAUCAUAUGAUGAAUAUAGUUAAAAUAAUUUUAAGGAUUCCUGGAGAUUGACUGGAAGAAAACAGCUAUCAGGACUGCCUUCCUGUCUGAAAAGUCAAACACAAGCAGAAGGGGACAGCAAAAUACAGACCUCUGCUUCUUCUAACGGAAUGUAAGAAGGACUUCGACAUUGUUUCCUUCCUUGUCUAGAGUAAGCAGUUUGGGAGUGCAAAUGUUAUCUGAAACAAAUGUAUUAGGAAAUGGGUUGGAGAUGGAGACACUGAGUCAAAGGAGAUGACGAAGCUGGUGGAGAUGGUGGUGAUGGAUCACUCUAGUACAAGAGAGAUUGUGAUGAAUUCCACUGACUUUCUUCUGCUGUUUCAUUACAUUUUCAAGAGAUCCAACAUGUGGGAACUUGCACUCAACUUUGCGGAUUUUAUUACUGGAUGGGAUUACCCCUCUGACACUGAUAAUCAAUGCUAAAUAGUUAAAACGAUUAACUGAGUGAUUAUCCAAGAUCUCAUUAUACAUCAGGCUCUGGUUUGAGUUCUUUCUACAAGUUAUUUGAUUUAAUGCUUGAAAUAACACUGUGAAUUAAUGCUUUUGAAAUUUCCAUUUUAUAUAGGCCAAAACCAAGGCACAAAGAGGUCAAGUUUCUUCCUUGAGUAAGAUCACAAAGCUCCUAAGUGGAGGAGCUGGAAAGCAAUCCCAGGGCUCCUAGCCCUAGAGCCCCAGCUUACCUCUAACACUCUGCCUUGGUCUCUGUCUCCCUGGCCAGGGGAAAAGAGCAUGCCCCUUUGACUUAAACACAGUUGACCUCAAAUCUAGAUUCCAUACGUAACUUCUUAGCUAUGUGAGCUUGAGCUGUCCACUUCAUUUCUUUCAGCCUCAGUUUCUCUGAGGGUUCUUUUAAGUAAGAAGUAAUGGAAUUUUCUGGAAUCCAUCAUUCAAAUUGAUUUGCUGAGUACCUGUGAGCUUAGUACUUAGCAGGUAGGUGCUUUGAAUGAAAUUACCUAGGGGCAGAGAAUUAUGCUCUCAUUCAAUAGUUUUGUUCACAGAAACAAGUGCAAAGAUGCUCAAAAUACUUGCCUGAUUAGAAUAAAUUUUCUUGCAGCUGGCCCUCAGGCAUCCCAGUUUUUCUGGAAAAGAUAAGAAAAACCAUUAUUUUUUAAAAACCCAAGUUCUUUACUUUCUCCCUGCAUCCUACUGCAGCCAUUUCUUAGCAUAUUAUCUUACUACUCCUUCUUCAAUAUAACCACUUUGAGAAUCUUUCAUCUAUAGUCAGUCACCUUUGCAAAUCGUGACUGUGCCCCAGGACCCUGACUAUUCUGAAGCCUUCAUGGAGGCUGAUGCAUGGCAUGACAAAACGGAUGCUGCCCUAUAACUAAGUGUUGGUACCAUCAGAGAACUGGUGUGCUGGCUCUGACUUGGCUGCAAGUGUUAGCAUGGAAGAUCGGUUUCCGGGAGCAGGGAGAGGCUGGGUGCUGGCUCUGGGGAAGGUGAAGGCAAUAGUCCAGAAGACAGAUUGUGACUGUUCAUUUUACCCCUCUUUCCUGAUUUUGACAGUAUGAUGUGGGAUCACUUAGACUGAUCAUAUAAUCUUCAGGAUUUAUGAUGGCAGUGCCUACAUGCCAGGACGGAAAGGCACAGAAGAAAGAACAUAAUCAUUUCCUGGGUCUGAAUCCUUCUUCAAUCUGUGUAAUCAUGAAGGCUUUUCUGGUGAAGGGGUGGGGCAAGGAAGAAGGAAGCUCAGAGAAAGGCUCAGGGGUGUCUGUAUUCUGAGGCUGCUGAAGUCAAAUUUGCUUGGCAAAUACUGAGCAGUACCAAGGAGCCCAGCUGACUUUAGGGCUUAGUAGCCUACAGGUAUGACUCCAUCAAGGCCAUGUGCCUUUUUCUUUAAAUAAUGAACCGUUUUUUUCCAAUGUUGUUUUCCAAAGCUCUUCUACUGGGGAGUUUGAAAACAAGGGAAAAUUAGUUUUUAUUCUUUGUCCCAGGGCUUCAUUCACAACUCCCCCCCCCAUUUCUCUGUGUCUCCAUUAUAGUUUAGCUUGUGGGUGUGGUCAGUGCUGGGAUGAGCCUCCCUUUGGAGGAUUCUGGAUGAAAAAGGGAGAGCAAGCAGCCGUACCCAGGAGUUGUGGUUGACUGCAUGUGGAAACUCAAGUGCUGCUCUUUAACCUGAGUUGGAGGUUGGGGCGUAGGGAGGAGCUGGAGAGAGAGCUUUGUUUACCUGGUUCCGAGGAGGUGAGGAGGCAGAAUCAAUGCUUUUCAAAUUUUGUAGUUUCUCAACAAAUGUCUGUAGGAUCGCAUAUCAAAUUCUCAGCUUCAUUUUUCUUACUGGAAUAUAAUGGGAAAUGAUAUGGGCGACAACAGAUCUGAGGUCUAUUUUUCAUGGUAACAGAAGAACACUUUCUUAAAUAUUCUGUACUUUCUAGAAAGUAGGAAGCUUCAGUUUUUUUGUUAAAGGUCGCUAGCAGAAGGCUCUUUAGAGGUCAAUAUAGAGUGAGAGCAAAGACUGAUUAGAUUAUUCUGUUAGGCUUCUCAUUCGGUGUUCACAGUUGUAUGUGUUAGAUAUAAACUGUUGCUGAGAAAAAUAAGGUCCAGCGGACUUUCACAGCAGCAGACUGUAACUCACCAUGAGGACUCCAGUAUCCUAACUCUUAGAUCAUGUUUUACCUUAAAGUCCCAAUUUUCUGUUUGGUGUAGUCAACAAUGCUAAAGUCAUAAUCAUGAAAUAUGAGGUUCACUGCAUCCACUGUGUAAAUAAAUUGGCCACAAGCUAGUAUUCCAUUAACGACAUUUGUUUAUGGUACUGUAGUGUAGCCUUUUCUCUGUGAAGAUGCUUCCAGAAAAGAACCAGCUGUGAUCUGUCCAUACUUUAGGACCUAACUGGGAGGACAAAGUUUAGACACUUGACAUUGUUUGACCGAUGGCAGUGCUGCGGGUCAAGCAGGUCAGAGCAGUGUAAGGGAACUGACACUGGGCUGGGAGGGGGGUCCCAUUCUGAAGGAGGCAGCCUUUGCUGAGAGUCAGGAGGCAAGAAAGAUUCCAGGGUAUCAGUGCAGGGUGAAAACAAGACCUCUAAGGAGACAACCGCUGAGAAUUGAAAUUUUAAUGAAUGGGACAGAAGGAGGAUUGGGCUAGAUUAUGAUUGGGAACCAAGUACUAAGGAGAGAAAAUUAUCCUUUAUCUUUUCAAAAAACUUUCUUGCAGACAUACCUUAGCAGCAAAAUACUUCUAGUUGCAACCCAAUGUUUGCAUAUGUGUAUUAUGAAAGCUGGCCCUCCCUCUCUCUUUUCCUUCCUAUC